rnacentral:rRNA from 1 species
UUAAGCAUAUCAAUAAGCGGAGGAAAAGAAACCAACAGGGAUUGCCUCAGUAGCGGCGAGUGAAGCGGCAAAAGCUCAAAUUUGAAAUCUGGCGUCUUUGGCGUCCGAGUUGUAAUUUGAAGAAGGUAUCUUUGGGCCCGGCUCUUGUCUAUGUUCCUUGGAACAGGACGUCACAGAGGGUGAGAAUCCCGUGCGAUGAGAUGACCCGGGUCUGUGUAAAGUUCCUUCGACGAGUCGAGUUGUUUGGGAAUGCAGCUCUAAGUGGGUGGUAAAUUCCAUCUAAAGCUAAAUAUUGGCGAGAGACCGAUAGCGAACAAGUACAGUGAUGGAAAGAUGAAAAGAACUUUGAAAAGAGAGUGAAAAAGUACGUGAAAUUGUUGAAAGGGAAGGGCUUGAGAUCAGACUUGGUAUUUUGCAUGCUGCUCUCUCGGGGGCGGCCGCUGCGGUUUACCGGGCCAGCAUCGGUUUGGAGCGGCAGGAUAAUGGCGGAGGAAUGUGGCACGGCUUCUGCUGUGUGUUAUAGCCUCUGACGAUACUGCCAGCCUAGACCGAGGACUGCGGUUUUUACCUAGGAUGUUGGCAUAAUGAUCUUAAGUCGCCCGUCUUG